GAUGAACGCUGACAGAAUGCUUAACACAUGCAAGUCGAUGGGGAAGUGGUGCUUGCACCAUGGUAACCAUGGCGGACGGGUGAGUAACGCGUAAGGAACUUGCCUGCGGGACUGGGAUAACAGCAGGAAACUGCUGAUAAUACCGGAAAGGUCAUUAAGCUGCAUAGCUUAGUGAUGAAAGGAGACGCCUGCGGAGAGCCUUGCGUCCUAUUAGCUAGUUGGAGGGGUAACGGCCCACCAAGGCGAAGAUAGGUAGCCGGCCUGAGAGGGUGGACGGCCACAAGGGGACUGAGAUACGGCCCUUACUCCUACGGGAGGCAGCAGUGGGGAAUAUUGGACAAUGGGGGCAACCCUGAUCCAGCAAUUCUGUGUGCACGAAGACGGUUUUCGGAUUGUAAAGUGCUUUCAGCAGGGAAGAAGGAAGUGACGGUACCUGCAGAAGAAGCGACGGCUAAAUACGUG
rnacentral:rRNA from 1 species